GACGUAGGGGGCCAGCGUUGCUCGGAAUUACUGGGUGUAAAGGGUUCGUAGGCGGUGUGGCAAGUCGGGAGUGAAAUCUCUGGGCUCAACCCAGAGUCUGCUUCCGAAACUGCUGUGCUUGAGUGUGGGAGAGGCGCGUGGAAUUGCAGGUGUAGCGGUGAAAUGCGUAGAUAUCUGCAGGAACACCCGUGGCGAAAGCGGCGCGCUGGACCACUACUGACGCUGAGGCGCGAAAGCUAGGGGAGCAAACGGG
rnacentral:rRNA from 1 species